AUAUUUUCAGAGCGAAAGGAAAAGUGAAGCCAAGAAACACCGUUCUUGUUUUUGUUUUGGAGUCAGAAGAGCGAAACAAUUUUUUAAUUGGCAUCGGAGGAUGGGCGUAGCAGCACACACGAAUUUGACGACUUGGCGAAGUUAGUUCCCCGUGAGACAUAAGCAUCAAGCACGGCUGCAAAACGAACCAUUCUUCAAGAAUGUACGACCCGAUGGGGAUGCUCAGUCCAGUGACUGUCUGUGAAAAAAUACUUGUACAAAAUCCAUGGAACGGCUAUGACUGUAACACAUCACUAACGGUGGACAUUGUUGACAAAUGGUCGUCAAUAACUAGUGACCUAAAUAUCGCCUUGAACUCUUCAUUCCAGCGGAUAUACUUAACGAGCCAGACAACUGAUGAUGAAAACCAUCAGUCGAUACGCUUGGGCUACGUUGUUAUCGUGCAUGACGACUUCAAACCGAGACUUCAGUGGACCCUGCUGUGGUAGACGAGCUUCUCACUAGAAAUGAUGGAAUGACGAGGGCCAAGCGCCUCCGUACAUCAGGUGGAAUCACCACCAGACAUAUCGUAAAUCUAUACCCGCUAGAAGUAGAAUGUGACGCAAACUGACUUUUAAUUGUGUGCAAUAAAGUAUUUAACUCUUUCCAGUGUCAUGGAAAUUUGAAAUUUCAAAAGUACAAGUAGGUUUGAUUAAUGUAUUUAAAUUCUCAUAAUGUUGUUAGUGCUUAUAAAAAUUUCGCGGCAAGGAGAAUGUUGAGAAUUCGGCGCGAUGGCGUGUGACGCCGCCGUUGGCGCGACGUCGUGUGACGCCGCCGCAUAACGUCAUAUACAUGUACACUAUAUUGUUAUUAUUGUUUUUUUUAUAUACAUUUAUGCUUGGAGAAAGGACGCCAUUAUAAAGUAAAACACAA